rnacentral:rRNA from 3 species
GCCGAACUCAGAAGUGAAACGCCGUAGCGCCGAUGGUAGUGUGGGGUCUCCCCAUGCGAGAGUAGGGAACUGCCAGGCAU